rnacentral:rRNA from 1 species
GACGAACGCUGGCGGCGUGCUUAACACAUGCAAGUCGAACGCUGAAGCUCAGCUUUUGUUGGGUGGAUGGGUGGCGAACGGGUGAGUAACACGUGAGUAACCUGCCCCCUUCUUUGGGAUAACGCCCGGAAACGGGUGCUAAUACUGGAUAUUCACUGGUCCUCGCAUGGGGGUUGGUGGAAAGGGUUUUUCUGGUGGGGGAUGGGCUCGCGGCCUAUCAGCUUGUUGGUGGGGUGAUGGCCUACCAAGGCUUUGACGGGUAGCCGGCCUGAGAGGGUGACCGGUCACAUUGGGACUGAGAUACGGCCCAGACUCCUACGGGAGGCAGCAGUGGGGAAUAUUGCACAAUGGGCGCAAGCCUGAUGCAGCGACGCCGCGUGAGGGAUGGAGGCCUUCGGGUUGUGAACCUCUUUCGCUCAUGGUCAAGCCGCAACAAUGGUUGUGGUGAGGGUAGUGGGUAAAGAAGCGCCGGCUAACUACGUG